rnacentral:rRNA from 1 species
CCUACGGGUGGCUGCAGUGAGGAAUAUUGGUCAAUGGGCGCGAGCCUGAACCAGCCAAGUAGCGUGAAGGAUGACUGCCCUACGGGUUGUAAACUUCUUUUAUAAAGGAAUAAAGUGAGGCACGUGUGCCUUUUUGUAUGUACCUUAUGUAUAAGGAUCGGCUAACUCCGUGCCAGCAGCCGCGGUAAUACGGUGGAUGCGAGCGUUAUCCGGAUUUAUUGGGUUUAAAGGGAGCGUAGAUGGGUUGUUAAGUCAGUUGUGAAAGUUUGCGGCUCAACCGUAAAAUUGCAAUUGAUACUGGCAGCCUAGAGUACAGGAGAGGUAGGCGGAAUUCGUGGUGUAGCGGUGAAAUGCAUAGAUAUCACGAAGAACACCGAUUGCGAAGGCAGCAUACCGGUGCACAACUGACGCUCAGGCACGAAAGCGUGGGUAUCGAACAGGAUUAGAUACCCGAGUAGUC